rnacentral:misc_RNA from 1 species
AACUUCUCCAACUAUCCCAAGGGUGCUGAGUUCAAGCAGAUUUUUGAACCUCUUGGAGAUGGGAUUUUCAAUUCUGACUCAGAUACCUGGAGAGCUCAGAGGAGAAUAAUUCACUCUUUGUUUAAGAAAAAGAGGUUCGAGCUUGCUGUAGAGAUCAGUUUGAAGCAGAAGAUCUUACAGGGUCUAUUUCCAGUUCUGGAAAAUGUUUCAUAUGAAGUAGACUUGCAAGAUGUGUUUCAGCGAUUCA